CCUACGGGGGGCAGCAGUGAGGAAUAUUGGUCAAUGGGCGCGAGCCUGAACCAGCCAAGUAGCGUGAAGGAUGACUGCCCUACGGGUUGUAAACUGCUUUUAUAAAGGAAUAAAGUGAGGCACGUGUGCCUUUUUGUAUGUACUUUAUGAAUAAGGAUUGGCUAACUCCGUGCCAGCAGCCGCGGUAAUACGGAGGAUCCGAGCGUUAUCCGGAUUUAUUUGGUUUAAAGGGAGCGUAGAUGGGUUGUUAAGUCAGUUUUGAAAGUUUGCUGCUCAACCGUACAAUUGCAAUUGAUACUGGCAGUCUUGAGUACAGUUGAGGUAGGCGGAAUUCUUGGUGUAGCGGUGUCAUGCUUCGAUAUCACGCAGAACUCCGAUUGCGAAGGCAGCUUACUAAACUGCCACUGACAUUGAUGCUCGAAAGUGUGUGUAUCAAACAGGAUUCGAUACCCCUGUAGUC
rnacentral:rRNA from 1 species